ACAUAGAUAUACUUAGGUGUUGCAUAGUUCAUAAUGAUUCAUUACAUGGGGCUGCAGAGCUGUUUGGUUUCCUUUUGAUGGAAGGGACAAAAUGAACAACAAUUUCAUUUCUUCUCAAGUGUGGAAGAAGCGUUUCUCUCUCAAUUCACUCUUCCACUUAACCCAACUUAAAAAAAAAAUUUCUUCCUAUUGAUUAACUUAUAUUCUUCCACAUUAUGAGCCUAUUUUUAUCAGGUGUGAAUACUUUGUCUUCUCUAACUUCUUUUAACUUUUUGGAUAAUUAUUCCAGACAACUUCCUUUAUUAACAAAUGUUCAAGUCAACAUUUAGGCUCUUAAAGUUUUUCAAUGUUCAACUCAAGAGUUCAUUGUUUGAGUUCCGUUAUUCUAAAACGACCAACAGACAAAUAAUAGCUAGUUUCUAUAUCCAACUACAAGGUGCAAAACAAUGUUCUCAAUGCAAAGGAACUGGGGUUAAUUCAGUUGAUCACUUCAAUGGGCAAUUUAAAGCUGGUGGGCUGUGUUGGCUUUGCAGUUGUAGAAACUGGCACAUUCUUGGUUCCAAAAAAAGUACUGAAGUCAUUCAAGGAUAUAGGAAAUGGUGAUGCACUGAAAGGAAUAUGCACUACUUUGUUAGUAAGCAAGGUACAGGAUGUUGUUGAACUUUGGCCUACAAUGCAAUAGGAAACUAGUAGCAAACCAGCAUGCAGACCAGCAUCCAAGCUGAACCAGAGAAGAAGCAGCAUUUUGUUUAUUUUGUUCAUUUGUAACUUGAUUUAGUUCCUUUGUAAUUUAUACUUAAAGUUAGUAGGAGUAGUUGUUGAUUUAUGUUUGAUGUUAUAGCUGGUAUGUUAGCUACAUUUUGUGUGUAAUUCUAGCUAAGCUUUAGUCAUAUAUUAGUGGAAGCAGUUAUACAUUAGGUAACUGCCAUAUGUCAUUGUAACAUAAAUACUUCUAAGUCAAUGAAAAAGAUUUGAUUUUUGGAGACCAAA